rnacentral:rRNA from 1 species
UACGUAGGGGGCAAGCGUUGUCCGGAUUUAUUGGUCGUAAAGAGCGUGUAGGCGGUCUGGUAGGUCCGUUGUGAAAACUCGAGGCUCAACCUCGAGACGCCGAUGGAAACCAUCAGACUAGAGUCCGGAAGAGGAGAGUGGAAUUCCUGGUGUAGCGGUGAAAUGCGCAGAUAUCAGGAAGAACACCCGUGGCUAAGGCGGCUCUCUAGUACGGUACUGACGCUGAGACGCGAAAGCGUGGGAGCGAACAGG